rnacentral:rRNA from 1 species
GACGUAGGGCGCAAGCGUUGUCCGGAUUUAUUGGGCGUAAAGGGUGCGUAGGCGGUUUGGCAAGUCUCAUGUGAAAUCUAUGGGCUCAACCCAUAGUCUGUAUGAGAAACUGCCGGGCUUGAGUAUUGGAGAGGUGAGUGGAAUUUCCGGUGUAGCGGUGAAAUGCGUAGAUAUCGGAAGGAACACCUGUGGCGAAAGCGGCUCACUGGACAAUAACUGACGCUGAGGCACGAAAGCUAGGGGAGCAAACAGG